GAGAAGCUUGCUUCUCGCUGACGAGCGGCGGACGGGUGAGUAAUGCGUAGGAAUCUACCCUUUUGUGGGGGAUAGCCCGGAGAAAUCCGGAUUAAUACCGCAUAAGCUCUUCGGAGGAAAGUGGGGGAUCUUCGGACCUCACGCUGAAGGAUGAGCCUACGUUGGAUUAGCUUGUUGGUGGGGUAAAGGCCUACCAAGGCGACGAUCCAUAGCUGGUCUGAGAGGAUGACCAGCCACACCGGGACUGAGACACGGCCCGGACUCCUACGGGAGGCAGCAGUGGGGAAUAUUGGACAAUGGGCGCAAGCCUGAUCCAGCCAUGCCGCGUGUGUGAAGAAGGCUCUAGGGUUGUAAAGCACUUUAAGCAGGGAAGAAACGCUGUUGGUUAAUAACCAUCAGUACUGACGGUACCUGCAGAAUAAGCACCGGCUAACUCCGUGCCAGCAGCCGCGGUAAUACGGAGGGUGCAAGCGUUAAUCGGAUUUACUGGGCGUAAAGCGUGCGUAGGCGGCUACGUAAGUCAGUUGUGAAAGCCCCGGGCUUAACCUGGGAACUGCAAUUGAUACUGCGUGGCUAGAAUUCGGUAGAGGAAGGUGGAACUCCAGGUGUAGCGGUGAAAUGCGUAGAUAUCUGGAAGAACAUCAAUGGCG
rnacentral:rRNA from 1 species